rnacentral:misc_RNA from 1 species
GAAUCUUUAUCAGAUUUUUCCUUCAUUGAUUUCAAGCUUCCUCCAGACUGCUGGGCUCCAGUUUGAGGACUAGUUGCCCUGUUUAGUAAGGAUUGCUCUGCUUCAUUUGCCUUCUUGGAGGAUUUAUUCUUGAUCUCUUCCUCACGGCGCUGCCUAUCCAUUCGUCUCUGAACCAAUCGGAUAAAGUGUUGAGGUGGAACAAAUGCACGCUCCAUAUCCACUAGGGCUACCACCAUCUUUUUAGCUUCAUUUUUAAACCCAUCAAGUGCAGCACUUGCAAUUGCCACAAUCUCUCUCUUAAAGGGAGCAUAUCUUCCAAGACCAGGAGUUGCAUUUGCUGCAGCAGAUACUAUAUCCACCAGCACACGAUGAACCUCAUCUACACAUAGGCGUGCAGGCUCCUUAGCCAGCUCUAGAACACCUUUUAUUAAGGACCUUAACCCUUUCUCUGGGGAUAUAAGAUAAGGUUGAUAACCAUCCGCUUCAAGAACAAUCCUUUUGACAUUGUUCAUGUCAAAGUGCCUAAUGCCUAUCUAAAGGGAGUUGCUUGAUCCGAUUUGGGAAAUUUCCCUCAAAACUUGCAACAACCUUCCAGCCAUUACCUUCACCACCUGUAAGAUGCUGGAGGAAUUUGUCCUCAUACUCACGGCAGAGUUCCAAAGCUAAAGCUCUUGUACCUUCAGAACUACUAACCAUUUGCUCACCAAGCCUUACAAGUUCAUCUUGAACUAUUUGAGACUUCCCCUGAAGCCC